CGAGCUGACUAGAUAAUCGCUGCUCGCUUAUGCGGGUGGAGGAAAGUCCGGGCUCCACAGGACAGGACGCCAGAUAACGUCUGGGCGGCGCAAGCCGAUGGAAAGUGCAACAGAGAGCUGAACCGCCGAUGGCUACUUCGGUAGCACAGGUAAGGGUGAAAAGGUGGGGUAAGAGCCCACCGCGCAAGUGGCAACACGAGCGGCAGGGUAAACCCCGUCCGGAGCAAGACCAAAUAGGGAAACACCGUCCACCUUGGUGGACAACACGUGGUCCGCGCGAGUUUCCGGGUAGGUUGCUUGAGGUGCUUGGUGACAGGCAUCCCAGAUGAAUGAUUAUCCUCGACAGAACCCGGCUUAUUGUCGGCUCACACU
rnacentral:RNase_P_RNA from 1 species